AACAGACUCCUACGGGAGGCAGCAGUGGGGAAUAUUGCACAAUGGGCGCAAGCCUGAUGCAGCCAUGCCGCGUGUAUGAAGAAGGCAUUCGGGUUGUAAAGUACGUUCAGCGGUGAGGAAGGUGUUGUGGUUAAUAACCACAGCAAUUGACGUUACCCGCAGAAGAAGCACCGGCUAGCUCCGUGCCAGCAGCCGCGGUAAUACGGAGGGUGCAAGCGUUAAUCGGAAUUACUGGGCGUAAAGCGCACGCAGGCGGUCUGUCAAGUCGGAUGUGAAAGCCCCGGGCUCAACCUGGGAACUGCAUUAGAACCUGGCAGGCUGGAGUCUUGUAGAGGGGGGUAGAAUUCCAGGUGUAGCGGUGAAAUGCGUAGAGAUCUGGCGGAAUACCGGUGGCGAAGGCGGCCCCCUGGACAAAGACUGACGCUCAGGUGCGAACGCGUGGGGAGCACACAGGAUUAUAUACCCGUGUAC
rnacentral:rRNA from 1 species